UGUUAUGUUUAUAUAAAAUUUUCUAAUUAAUAACUUGUUUCUAACAUAUUAAUUUGUCAUUUCUAGAAAAUCAAGAAACAGUGUAUAAAAAUUUUGCAGUAAACAAUUUCGGAAACGUAAAUCAGUCAGAUUGCUCAAGGGUGAAACGCCGUUUAAUUUAACAAAGCAUCCAGGCGUCUUCAGUAUGAAAACCACUUAUAAAUUUUCGACAUGUUGUCGUAGUGGCUUGAUAUAACAUGGACUUAUAUGUGCAUUGCUGUCUCCCAGUGAGAGGUUACAACAGUUAGUGAAAGAUAACCCACACGUCAACUGAAAUCUGGAAUUCUCACUAAAUCUUCAAACCCGAGUGUCCGCAAGAAGAACCUGAAGUUCUCCUUGGACCUCUCCAAAUGUCCACAGGUAGCGGACACAGGUACUACCUUUACCAACACCCUGGAAGUCUUUAUGGAGAAACAAACUGAGGCAAUACAUUGAUGACGUCAAUGAAGACACAACGAGAAACGAUUUGCGGUCGAAUAUUUAUUUAGAUUCCAGCAGUGGAAAACGAAAUUGUGUGUGCUGAUAUCACAGGAGAUUUGAAAUCUUAACCAGUAAAUGCACGUAACCCUGUCAGCUCGUCAUCAGAGUCUCGGGAGUCAAGUCGUGGAUCACUAUUAAUUAGCCGCUAGUUUUCUCGCACUUAUGCCCAUUUACAGAAUCCUAUUGAUUGUAAUACAUCACUUACCGAUACUUGGGCUUUCAAGAAAAUACAACAAAUAUACGUGAUUGUUGUGUCGAGAUGGAACGGGCCUUAUAGACUAUAGCAGAUGUCACAAAUAACUAAUUCUUUUCUUGAGAUACAAAAGGCGUCUUAUUGUAAUAACAGUUUCUGCUGACUUGAAUUCUAUGUGGAUACAACAAAUAUAACAAACCUUAAAUUACUACUAUAUGAAUUUAA